rnacentral:sRNA from 1 species
CUAUUAUUCUUUUACUAUUUUUUCUAUUACCAUUUUUUCUAUUAUUCUUUUACUAUAAUUGUAUAUAAUAUGGCAGCUGCUUGCCACAUGUACUAUGUGGAGAGAUGCACCACCCUGCAUCAGCUUUUACCCUACAGAAGGAAAUCAGCGUUCCAUUAUAUUUCAUUGUUAUCAACAGUUUAGGAAUACAUAGCUUUGCUUUUGCCUUUUUCUUUCCUUCCCCUUCUUUCCCCUUGCCUGAGAGAAAAGAAGGAAAAAAAAAAAUUCAUCUUUCUUACCCCCCUCUUUUUGGAUGAUAGGACUUGAAGACAAUCUGAAAUACCACAUAAACUCACUUCCAGAUGUUUUUUGUUUCAUAUGCAAUUGAAUUGGGCUCAGACUGUGUUUUUAAGCUCUAUGAUAAAAAUAUCACUGUCUUCUAGGGCCUUAUUGGGGGGCAGGGAUAGACUUGACACUUUGUCAGAAGGGAUUGAGUCUGCUAACUUAAACUUUCCUUGAUUCAGGAAUACAAAGUCUCCAGCUGUGAACAGAGACUCAUCAGUGAAAUAGAGUACAGGCUAGAAAGGUCUCCUGUGGAUGAAUCAGGUGAUGAAGUUCAGUAUGGAGAUGUGCCUGUGGAAAAUGGAAUGGCACCAUUCUUUGAGAUGAAGCUGAAACAUUACAAGAUCUUUGAGGGAAUGCCAGUAACUUUCACAUGUAGAGUGGCUGGAAAUCCAAAGCCAAAGAUCUAUUGGUUUAAAGAUGGGAAGCAGAUCUCUUCAAAGAGUGAUCACUACACCAUUCAAAGAGAUCUCGAUGGGACCUGCUCCCUCCAUACCACAGCCUCCACCCUAGAUGAUGAUGGGAAUUACACAAUUAUGGCUGCAAACCCUCAGGGCCGCAUCAGUUGUACUGGACGGCUAAUGGUACAGGCUGUCAACCAAAGAGGUCGAAGUCCCCGGUCUCCCUCAGGCCAUCCUCAUGUCAGAAGGCCUCGUUCUAGAUCAAGGGACAGUGGAGACGAAAAUGAACCAAUUCAGGAGCGAUUCUUCAGACCUCACUUCUUGCAGGCUCCUGGAGAUCUGACUGUUCAAGAAGGAAAACUCUGCAGAAUGGACUGCAAAGUCAGUGGGUUACCAACCCCAGAUCUAAGCUGGCAACUAGAUGGAAAGCCCGUACGCCCUGACAGUGCUCACAAGAUGCUGGUGCGUGAGAACGGGGUGCACUCUCUGAUCAUAGAGCCAGUCAUGUCACGUGAUGCCGGCAUCUACACAUGUAUAGCCACCAACCGAGCAGGACAGAACUCAUUCAGCCUGGAGCUUGUGGUUGCUGCUAAAGAAGCACACAAACCCCCUGUGUUUAUUGAGAAGCUCCAAAACACAGGAGUUGCUGAUGGGUACCCAGUGCGGCUGGAAUGUCGUGUAUUGGGAGUGCCACCACCUCAGAUAUUUUGGAAGAAAGAAAAUGAAUCACUCACUCACAGCACUGACCGAGUGAGCAUGCACCAGGACAACCAUGGCUACAUCUGCCUGCUCAUUCAGGGAGCCACAAAAGAAGAUGCUGGGUGGUAUACUGUGUCAGCCAAGAAUGAAGCAGGGAUUGUGUCCUGUACUGCCAGGCUGGACGUUUACACCCAGUGGCAUCAGCAGUCACAGAGCACCAAGCCAAAAAAAGUACGGCCCUCAGCCAGUCGCUAUGCAGCACUUUCGGACCAGGGACUAGACAUCAAAGCAGCGUUCCAACCUGAAGCCAACCCAUCUCACCUGACACUGAAUACUGCCUUGGUAGAAAGUGAGGACCUGUAAUCCAGCAUUCUUGUUAAAGCUGAAACACUGAAACGGCCAUUGCCUUGACCAACAUAUUCCUUUGUCACGUUAUGUAAAAGGCAGAAACAUACCUUUGACGAUAAGAAAUAAAAAAAACACCAAAAUAAUAUUUUUCUUACUUGAUAUACCAAACUUAGUUUAAGUAGAUAAUGCUAAUACAAAUAUACACAUUGCACAGAAAAUUCACAUUUACUGUCCAAUUUAAAACUUUGGAAUUGCUGUGAUUAAAGUGAUCAAAAUGCCAAAAUACUAAAGGAAAUCAAUUGUUCACAGGUAAAUACAAUUUGUAUUAUCUAUAAGUGCCUUUAAACACAAGAUAUAGGUGCUGUGUAGCCUGAUAGUGUGAAAUGUUUAAUGAGGGAGUUGUACCACAAACAGUACUACAAUGAUUCUGAAGCACAGUGUAUUCAGACAGAUACAGUGAACCAAGUGCAAUAUGUAAGGAUGAAAGAAGAAGAAAUGACAAAGAAAUCCAAGUAAAUGCCUUGUCUUUGCAAAUGUUUUUAUAUUAAAUCAUAAGGAAGGAACUACUUGCCUUAAAUGUUAUUAAUAUCAAAAGAGUUUUCUAACAAGGUUAAUACCUUAGUUCUUAACUUUUUUUUUUCUUUAUGUGUUGUGUUUUCAUGCUACCUUGGAAGGAAAGUUAUUUACAAACCAUAUUAAAAGGCUAAUUUAAAUAUAAGUAAUAUAAAGUGCUCUGAAUAAAGCAGAAAUAUAUUACAGUUCAUUCCACAAAAAGCAUCCAAACCACCCAAAUGACCGAGGCAUAUAUAGUAUUUGGAGGAAUCAGGGGUUUGGAAGGAGUAGGGAGGAGAAUGAAGGAAAACGCAACCAGCACAAUUAUAGUGUGUUCAUUUAGACAAAAGUAGAAGGCGCAGGAGAGGUAGCAAAGGCCAGGCUUUUCUUUGGUUUUCUUCAAACAUGGGUGAAAAAAACACUGCCAUUCACAAGUCAAGGAACCUAGGGCCAGCUGGAAGUGUGGAGCACACAUGCUGUGGAGAUUGCAGUGUGUCUGAAGUUUGUGUAGUAGUGGAAGAUUUUAGGUAUGUAGAGCAAGUUGAAAAUGGAUUGAGACUGCAUGGUGGCAUAAAUGAGAAAUUGCCUGUAGGAUCUAGUCUACUUGAAGGAAGUGGAGACAUAAGGAGAGACAAAAACAGGUUUGUGCCAUAAAGUAUUUUUUCAAAGGCACCAAGAUGUGGUAAAUGAAAAUUAUUAGUUCACUUCCCUGCUGCCAUGAAACUUUGCCUUAAGAAGGUGCUGGAUUCCAAGGUUUGUAAAGGCAUCUCGGUAAAGACUGCUUUUUGAAUGCAUAUGAUUUUGCAUCAGCUAGACUGGGUUGAUUCUGACCAGACUUGAUGGUUUUAAGUCGGAACCGAUAAAUUUUAAAAAGGAGAAAAAAUAAUUUGACGUAGUAGUAUAAAACAUGAGGCUUUAAUGGUACUUUGCUAUGAAAAGAAAACACUGUAUUCCUUAUGCAAAACACAUGUAUCUUUCAUUAUUUAUAAUAAGUGGCCUCUCUUAGCUCAGUUACUCAAUUCAUACGUAGUAUUUUUUAAAAUAAUUUUGUAUCUGUGUACCACCCCAUAUAUUUCAUAUUACUGUUUCACAUGUACAGCUUUCUACUUCUUUGUAAGAACACCAACCAACCAAGGUUUAAGUGAUUAAUAGGCUUGAGCACCGGGUGGCAGAUGUUUCUAUGCAGUGUGGUUCAAGUUUCUUUGACCACACUUAUAUGCAUUGCUAAUAAAUAUGGAAUUUAAGAUAUCAUACACAGUCUCUCAUGGACCUAUCUCUAUUGUGGAAUUAUGACUUAUGUCUUACUUGCCAAAUUUUUCUGAAUGUGACCUUUUUUUUGCUGAUUUGCUGGGUUUGGGAUUAACUAGCAUUAUUUUGCCACCUUUAUAUUGUAUUUAUAAAAAAAGUACUAUCAUACUACUUUGGAUUGUUGUGCUGGUGUAAUGUGGAUUUAACAUCAAUAAACAUUUGACAAAUAA